rnacentral:tRNA from 1 species
GCGAAGGUGGCGGAAUUGGUAGACGCGCUUCAGGUGUUAGUGUUCUUACGGACGUGGGGUUCAAGUCCCCCCUCGCACCA